GGGCGGUUAGCUCAGGGGGAGAGCACUACCUUGACACGGUAGGGGCCACAAGUUCAAAUCUUGUACCGCCCACCA
rnacentral:tRNA from 1 species